CAUUAACUAACCAAAAUCCAACGUCGAGCCAACGUCUCAAGCCAACGUCACAUUGACAUCAAAUACUGAUGUUUUGUCGUCAGGUAUGGCAACCAAAAUCCAACAUCUAGUAGACGUCAUUAUGGUAACGUCCAAUCAACGUCAAGUUAUAACGUCAUUUGACUUUGAUCUUUAGUUUGUUUUUAGGUUGUGACAUUAACUAACCUAAACCCAACGUCGAGCCAACGUCUCAGGCCAACGUCACAUUGACAUCAAAUACUGAUGUUUAGUCGUCAGGUAUGGCAACCAAAAUCCAAUGUCUUCAAGACGUCAUAAUGGUAACGUCCAAUCAACGUCAAAUUAUAACAUCAUUUGACUUUGAUCUUUAGUUUGUUUUUAGGUUGUGAUAUUAACUAACCUAAACCCAACGUCGAGCCAACGUCUCA
ensembl:lncRNA